GAUGAACGCUGGCGGCGUGCCUAAUACAUGCAAGUCGAGCGAACGGACGAGAAGCUUGCUUCUCUGAUGUUAGCGGCGGACGGGUGAGUAACACGUGGAUAACCUACCUAUAAGACUGGGAUAACUUCGGGAAACCGGAGCUAAUACCGGAUAAUAUUUUGAACCGCAUGGUUCAAAAGUGAAAGACGGUCUUGCUGUCACUUAUAGAUGGAUCCGCGCUGCAUUAGCUAGUUGGUAAGGUAACGGCUUACCAAGGCAACGAUGCAUAGCCGACCUGAGAGGGUGAUCGCCCACACUGGAACUGAGCCACGGUCAAGACUCCUACGGGAGGCAGCAGUAGGGAAUCUUCCGCAAUGGGCGAAAGCCUGACGGAGCAACGCCGCGUGAGUGAUGAAGGUCUUCGGAUCGUAAAACUCUGUUAUUAGGGAAGAACAUAUGUGUAAUUAACUGUGCACAUCUUGACGGUACCUAAUCAGAAAGCCACGGCUAACUACGUG
rnacentral:rRNA from 1 species